AGAGACAGCAGUAGCCGCGGUAAUACGUAGGGUGCAAGCGUUAUCCGGAAUUAUUGGGCGUAAAGAGCUCGUAGGCGGUUUGUCGCGUCUGCUGUGAAAACUGGAGGCUCAACCUCCAGCCUGCAGUGGGUACGGGCAGACUAGAGUGCGGUAGGGGAGAUUGGAAUUCCUGGUGUAGCGGUGGAAUGCGCAGAUAUCAGGAGGAACACCGAUGGCGAAGGCAGAUCUCUGGGCCGUAACUGACGCUGAGGAGCGAAAGCGUGGGGAGCGAACAGGAUUAGAUACCCCGGUAGUCCCUGUCUCUUAUAC
rnacentral:rRNA from 1 species